UGUGGGCUAGUGCAGCAGGGGAAACACCGUGACCACCGAGGCGGUUUUCCUAGUUGCACCCAGGGAAAACCGCUGUCCUGGCAUGGGGUAGUACCCAUGGAGGUAAUGUAU